GAUUGAAUUAAAUUGCAAAUAUCGGAUUUGAACACGGGACCUCUCGAUUAUGAAUCGAGAACCUCUAGCGCCAAAGCCACGGGUUCAGACAAAAUGAUAUUUACUUCGAACGCCUUUAUGCUGUGUAGAGUGCUAGAUUGAAUGUGUAGUGAAGUGUAUG